AUCCGUUUAGUUUAAUAUAGAAAAUGCCUAUUUGUGGUGUAGGUGAUGGGGGUAAGUCCAGCGGUUA
rnacentral:tRNA from 1 species